CCCUGGUUAGCUCAGUUGGUAGAGCGCUCCACCUGUAAUGGAGAGGUCCCGGGUUCGGAUACCCGGACCAGGCG
rfam:Ixodes scapularis strain Wikel colony gcontig_1107728819482, whole genome shotgun sequence.